CCUACGGGAGGCAGCAGUAGGGAAUUUUCGUCAAUGGGCGCAAGCCUGAACGAGCAAUGCCGCGUGAACGAGGGAGGUCUUCGGAUCGUAAAGUUCUGUUGAAGGGGAAAAAGAGCGGAGAGAGGAAAUGAACUCCGAUUGAGAUUACCCUUCGAGUAAGUGACGGCUACAUACUUGCCAGCAGCCGCGGGAAUACGUAGGUGGCGAGCGUUAUCCGGAAUGAGUGGGCGUAAAGGGUUCGUAGGCGGCCUGCUAAGUCUGGAGUGAAAGGUACCGGCUCAACCGGUAUAGGCUCUGGAAACUGGCGGGCUAGAGAGAAGGAGAGGGAGGUGGAACUCAAUGUGUAGCGGUAAAAUGCGUAGAUAUAUGGAAGAACACCAGUGGCGAAGGCGGCCGCCUGGCCUGUUACUGACGCUGAGGCACGAAAGCGUGGGGAGCAAAUAGGAUUAGAUACCCCAGUAGUC
rnacentral:rRNA from 1 species